UACGAAGGGGGCGAGCGUUGUUCGGAUUUACUGGGCGUAAAGGGCGCGCAGGCGGCUCAUUUUGUCAGGCGUGAAAGCCCCGGGCUUAACCUGGGAACUGCGUUUGAUACGGAUGGGCUAGAGUUCGGGAGAGGAGAGUGGAAUUCCCAGUGUAGAGGUGAAAUUCGUAGAUAUUGGGAAGAACACCGGUGGCGAAGGCGGCUCUCUGGACCGAGACUGACGCUGAGUGAGCGAAAGCCAGGGGAGCAAACGGG
rnacentral:rRNA from 1 species